rnacentral:rRNA from 1 species
UAUGUGAUCGUCUCUCGCAUAUCAAUAAGCGGAGGAAAAGAAACUAACAAGGAUUCCCCUAGUAACGGCGAGUGAAGCGGGAAGAGCUCAAAUUUGAAAUCUUAAAGGGUUUCCCUUUACGAAUUGUAGUUUAAAGAAGUGUUUUCUGUUGAGGUUUUGGUAAAAGUUCUUUGGAAUAGGACAUCAUAGAGGGUGAGAAGUCCCGUAUUUGACCUUUACUUUCAACUUUGUGAUACACUUUCAAAGAGUCGGAUUGUUUGGGAAUGCAGUCCAAAAUGGGUGGUAAAUUUCAUCUAAAGCUAAAUAUUGGCGAGAGACCGAUAGCGAACAAGUACCGUGAGGGAAAGAUGAAAAGAACUUUGAAAAGAGAGUUAAACAGUACGUGAAAUUGUCAAAAGGGAAGCGUUUGACACCAGUGUUGUUUUUCUGAAAAUCAAUUAAAGAACUGUUUAUGCUAAGCUGUUUAGACUUUAUCAGCUAUCUGUUUAGUUUUGAGCUUUUCUUUAAUGCACUUUUCAGUUAACAAGUCAACAUCAAUUUCUUUUGCUGUAAAAAAGCUUGAGGAAGGUGGCUUGAGAUUCGUCUUAAGUGUUUAUAGCCUCUUGCCUAUGCAGUCGGAGAGAUUGAGGUACUGCAGCGUAGAUCCUUCGGGGCUAAAUGCAUUUGUGCUAAGUUAUAGCAUUUUAUAGACAACUUGUUGACUAUGAUUUGUCUUGUAGCUUACUCGCUUAUGUUAUUUUACCUACGCUUAGGAUGUUGAUAUGCAUGACUGAUAU